rnacentral:rRNA from 1 species
GCUUAAAGGGGCCGUAGCAGGAUUCGUAAAUCUCUUGUGAAAUUGCCAGGCCUAACUUGGCAACGUGCAGGAGACACCGCGAGUCUUGGGACCGGGAAGGGUAAGAGGUAUUCUGAGGGAGCGGUAAAAUGCUAUAAUCUCAGGAGGACCGCCUGUGGCGAAGGCGUCUUACUAGAACGGAUCCGACUGUGAGGGACGAAAGCCAGGGGAGCAAACCGGAUUAGAUACCCGAGUAGUCCUGGCCGUAAACGCUGUGAGCUAGGUGUCGCGUAUUCUACGGGAAUGCGCGGUGUCGAAAGGAAGCUAAUAAGCUCACCGCCUGGGAAGUACGGUCGCAAGACUGAAACUUUAAGGAAUUGGCGGGGGCGCACCACAAGGGGUGCGGCGUGCGGUUUAAUCUAACUCAACACAGAGAACCUUACUAGGAGCGACGGCAGGAUGAAGGUCAGCCUGAAGGGCUUACCUGACAAGCCGAGAGGUGGUGCAUGGCCAUCGUCAGCUCGUGCUAUGAAGUGUCCAGUUAAGUCUGGCAACGAGCGAGACCUGUAUCUGCAAUUGCCAUCGGAUCUUCGGAUGACCGGGCACAUUGCAGGGACCGCCCUGGAAACAGGGAGGAAGGUGCAGGCUACGGUAGGUCUGUAUGGCCCGAAUCUUCUAGGCUACACGCGCGCAACAAUGGUAGGGACAAUGGGCUGCAACUCCGAAAGGAGAAGCUAAUCCUCUAAACCCUAUCCUAGUCCAGAUUGAGGGUUGUAACUCACCCUCAUGACGACGGAAUCCCUAGUAAUCGGACGUCAUCAACGUCCGGUGAAUAUGUCCCUGCGCCUUGCACCCACCGCCCGU